GGGCAACCGAGUUGUAAUUUGGAGACGGGACACUAGAGAGGAGGAAGGCGAUUAAGUGCCUUGGAACAGGCUGCCGUAGAGGGUGAGAGCCCCGUGAAUCCUGGAGACCGAUCAAUUAGUGCCCGCCGAAGAGUCGAGUUGUUUGGGAAUGCAGCUCUAAGCGGGUGGUAUAUUCCAUCUAAGGCUAAAUAUUAGCGAGAGACCGAUAGCAAACAAGUACAGUGAUGGAAAGAUGAAAAGAACUUUGGAAAGAGAGUGAAAUAGUACGUGAAAUUGUUGAAAGGGAAGGGUAUUUGAUCCGACAUGGUGUUUAGCAGCGGCCCGUUCCUCGUGGAUGGG
rnacentral:rRNA from 1 species